rnacentral:rRNA from 1 species
UACGGAGGGUGCAAGCGUUAUCCGGAUUCACUGGGUUAAAGGGUGCGUAGGAGGGCAGGUAAGUCAGUGGUGAAAUCUCCAAGCUUAACUUGGAAACUGCCGUUGAUACUAUCUGUCUUGAAUAUUGUGGAGGUGAGCGGAAUAUGUCAUGUAGCGGUGAAAUGCUUAGAUAUGACAUAGAACACCAAUUGCGAAGGCAGCUCACUACUCAAUCAUUGACUCUGAGGCACGAAAGCGUGGGGAUCAAACAGG